GACGAACGCUGGCGGCGUGCUUAAUACAUGCAAGUCGAACGAAAAGGCCCUUCUUUUGUUGGUUUCGCGAUAGGCGCACGCGGGAGUAACACGUGAGUAACCUGCCCUUAACUGUGGGAGAACUUUAAGGAACAUCGGCUCUUACCCGGGAUAAUCUUCUGAUACAUAUGGGGCAUUAGAAAGUGUCGGUGGUUGGGUCAGUGCUAGCUGCUUACGCGCUUCUUGGGUUGGUAGUGGCAUACCAAGGCUAUGACGGGUAGACGGCCUGAGAGGGGUACCGGCAACAUUGGGACUGAGAUACGGACCAGACUGCUACGGGAGGCAGCAGUGGGGAAUAUUGCACAAUGGGAGGCAGCAUGAUGAAGCAACGGCGCGUGCGGGAUGACGGCAUACGGGUUGUAAACCGAUUUGGCAUGUGAUGAAGAGUGAGUGACGGUAACGGGUAAAGAAGCAACGGCUAACUACGUG
rnacentral:rRNA from 1 species